UCCGGGGUAGCUCAGUUGGCAGAGCAGCGGACUGUUAAUCCGCUUGUCGUGGGUUCGAGCCCCACCCCCGGAGCCA
rnacentral:tRNA from 2 species